rnacentral:misc_RNA from 1 species
AAGUCGUAACAAGGUUUCCGUAGGUGAACCUGCGGAAGGAUCAUUACAGUAUAUUGAAUUCUUAUUCAUAUCAACCCACACUGUGUACCUUUUAUUUGUUGCUUCCAUGGGACAUGGCUCUGCCACGUCGGCCUUCGGGCUGGUGAGUUCCCAUGGAAGGAAACCCAAUACUCUUUUUAUUUUUGACAUCUGUCUGAAUAGUUUUUAUAAACGUUAAAACUUUCAACAACGGAUCUCUUGGUUCUC